rnacentral:ncRNA from 1 species
ACACCGGCUCUUGUAAGAGCCACUACUUUUGCAAAAAGAAUAUUGU